CACACACACACACACACACACACACACACACACACACACACACUCGGAUGCGAACAACAUGGAUGCUGAGCCGGAGAGGGUGGAGUGUACCGGGAUGCACGGGAAAACGCCGGCCGGGCCACGUUUUCACGCAUCACACGUAGAAAUGUGUACACGUGUUUCCCCAACCGAGCUGUGAAUCGGUUCCCAAAACGAUUCGAUUCUCCGUUUCAACUGAAUUGGAACUCCGGAAGAGUCGACUCCAUACACUCGAUUAAAUUUUUUUUAUUUUUUUUAUAAUUAUUAAAAUUUGCACUAAAAUACAAGGCAAAAUAUACAAAAGAUUGGCUUACUUCAUAAUAAAUAUAUUACUGCUAUAAUUAGGAGACAAUAGAUCAUGAUUUAUGCAGGGUGUAUGAGUCGAGAUUUUUUAUUUUUCACAAUAUUUUAUUUUUGCACAUUUUUUUUUAGAUAUUAGGAUUAAUAAAACAUCGAGUAGAUGAAUGAAAUUGAGAUACUGUCGAGAAAUUGGACCAAACAAUACAUUUAGAUUCGGAGUCGAUUCCGAGAGAUGUUGAGUCAAAUAGUGCUGCUGAUUAUGCACCACAAAUAGACCGGAUGGAAGCCCUAUUUCCGGAAUCGACCUUUGGAAUUUGUGCACUUCCGUAAUUUGACCAGGAAACAUUCUUCACCAACUGCUUUUGGAGACAUUUUGACAAACACCGUUGCUUUCAGAGACAGGUUGACCAACCCAAUUUUACCCAAACCCAUGCUGACUGGUCUGCCUGCUCCUGCAAAAAGUUUGAUCAACCCCCAGAUUUCUGCAGAAAGAUUGACCAAUCCUGCCUGCUCCCACAGCAUAACUGAUCAAUCAUGCACCUACACCUUUGACCAGAGAGGAUCAGGAAGCCAUCGAUAUACUGAUGCGGCGGCAGACCUCAGAGACGACACGUGUUUUUGGGAGUCAUAAAGAAAUCGGGAGACAGGACACAAAUAAACAAUGCAGGAUUGCGAGAAAAAAUGUUAAUAAAAAUGGCCCACGGGUGUAAUAUUUAAAAUACUGUAAACAUGUGGACUUGUUUACAAAGGAAUAAAAAGUAAUGCUUCUAAUAUAAAA